GCCUGGCCGGAGAGAUGAGGAAGGGCACUCGGAGGCAGAGCACUGGGAGGGGAUUGGAGGGGCCUAAGGUGGACGGGUGAGAGGGCCGAGUGCCUAGCGGCGUCAGAAACAACGACAGAUAUCUGGGGCGCCAUCAUCUGUAUCAUCGGGUACGUUUCCUCCUCCUCAUUCUGCGAUUUUGCCACCACCAACCUGGCUGUUGGUCUGAUGUGUGUGAUCUGCUGGUGCGUGCCGUGAACAGGCUGCCCAUCUCGUGCAUCUGCCCGUGCUGCCUGUGCGUGACGCUGCUGCUGGAGGCGGCGGUGGAGCUCGUCAAGGCGCCGCUCCACGUCAUGACGUGGUUCACCUCCAAGAUACCCUGCUGAUUCCUCGGUGACCAGGGACCGCUCGCUCGCCCCCUCUCUCAUGGCUUAGCCGGCGUUGCACAUGCCCCCGCUGAUUCUUGUUGUUCCCCCCCUCGAAACAUAAGUUCGCAGAUUGAUUGCUGUAUAUUCGUACCAUGGCUGAUGAUUCCUUCUCCUUUUUCCCCUUUGGUUUGAUCGUUCCUGUGAUCCCUUCCAGGCGUCACACCACUGACGACCAUGCCGCCAGCAUGGAUGGCAUCCGUCUCUCGGCCAUCGUUGCAGGUGCGGGCUUCUCGCUCAAAUGUGAUUAACGUGAUGAUUUCCAUCUCCAUGAUUUAAUGCCGCGUGCACCUAGCAAUAUUAGCUCUUAGUUUCUCCUAAUGCGUUACCUCCCAACUCACAUAGCCGGGCAAGCCGCUAGAUGCCUGACUUUCUGAUCUUGACCCAUAUGCCUUUGGGGCGGUGCGCAAUACACUACGGAGCAUGUGGGGAAGAACUGCAGCAUCUAGGAGUUGUUUCAUUACUCAUGGGGACGUGUAUACAUUUCAAUUGGAAGUUCGACGGAGCAGGGUACCCUAUGAUGCAAGAGGAUGACUGUAAAAACAUUCUAUAUCAAAUUAAGUGUAAUCCUUUCCUUUGUUUGUACUGCAAUGUGAUUUGUAUUAUUGGUGUAUGAACAUGCAAAUUGCUAUACAUUGUAUUUGACCUGACAUUAUUUGUUUUCCAAUUGCAGCUUUGGAUCAGGACUAAUCUAUAGCCCAAGGAAGAACUUGAAUUCCAAGGUGAGACGCACCAUGUAUGCUUCCUCCUCGAAUUUAUUUCUUGUUUUUUUCUUGGGGAAUUUCAAUGGGGCAGACACGAUUAAUAACUCUUAUUCAAAUGUGGACGUAUGGUAGUUGAUAUGCUUGACGGCGCCGCUCUGCUGGUCGGGGUCUAUAGUUAUUUAACAGCUUAUUAUGAAUCAUUAGAACUAUAGUAUUUUACCUUGAUGUUGUCGGUUCUACCUUCUAUUAACUAGCCCAGAGGUAGAUUUUGUGUCAGUAUUAUUUAGUUGUUGGUGUUCAGUAUUUUGUUUGGUAGUGGCAGUGCAAAGUUCGUCAUCUUUUUUGUUUGGCAGUACAAAAUAGUGACAUCUUGAUGUUGAUGCAAGAUUGUUUUCAGCUAGACCUCUUUGAUUUGUCAUCAUUAUUCUAGGAAUCGAAGAUGAUAUUUUAUACAUUUCAAUUGCAUAUGCAAUGCAUCAAAUUUCAUAGAAACUAGAGAUAAUUUGCCCCUAUCGGUUUGUGUAUUGUUUUUUCAG
rnacentral:lncRNA from 1 species